UUAAAUCAGUGUUGUAACAUUUAUUUAUUUGACAAAAACAAGAACGGUUACAAUGCUGAUUAAAACCAUACUCCUAGAGUGAAUCUGAUAGAACUAAGAACUUUAAUAUGCACCCAGUUUUCAUAAUCUUCACCCCAGUGUGAGCAGGGAUGUUGACAGGCUUUUGGUGAAGCUAAGAGGACAAGAAUCAAUCAAAUCAAAUUCAUUUAUAAAGCCCUUUUUACAACAGCAGUCACAAAGUGCUUUACAGAGACACCCGGCCUUAAACCCCAAGGAGUUAACAACAAUAGUGUUGAAUUUCAGUGGCUAGGAAAAACUCCCUAAGAAGGUCGAAUUUUAGGAAGAAACCUAGAGAGGACCCAUGCUCAGAGGGGUGACCAGUCCUCUUCUGGCUGUGCCGAAGAAACACAGAGAAAGAAAAAAGAGUCAUUAGGUAGAUCUGAUAUUAAUGUACCUGUCAAAAUCAAGGAACUCCUGGAAAAAACUAUGGAGCAAGAUAGCCUUAUACUUAUUGAUUCGAGUUCUAAAAUGUGUAUGCUGACAUGUACUUGCUUCAAAAUGACAACACGUCUUAUAAUAUGGAACAGAUGGCAAAAUAUAAUGUACAUUUCUUAAUGUAAUAAUAUACAGGUUAUUUUCUGUGAUAUUGAGAUACUUACCGGCCCUAAUGGCAUCCAGAUGGUUUUCCAACGUUGCCAAUGUUGGCGUUGCCUCCACCCCCAUGUAUGUUGCCAAUGUGACUUCCUCCACCUCCUGAUACAUUGCCAAUGUUCUCGUUGCCUCCACCACCGUGUACGUUGCCAAUGUGACUUCCUCCACCUCCUGAUGCAUUGCCAAUGUUCGCAUUGCCUCCACCUCCAUGUACGUUGCCAAUGGAACUACCUUUGUUUUUGUCCCCACAGUGUGGUAUACACCUAUCCAUUACUGCUAUGAUAUCUGUGUCUGUGUUCUUCCUUGGUGCAGUGGAGCUCUUGAAGGUAAUAGUGAACAGGUGUUGUAGUACAGAGUGGAGGGAUAGUUCUGCUUUUAUAGGAUUGAGACACGCUGGAUGAGAGAAAGGGGGGCUGGUUCUUGGCUUAUUACAGUUAUUGAAAUCCAGGUCACUUCCAGAGAACUAAAGAGAGUAAAUAUUGUCGUUAUAGAGUUGGAUCAUUUCCAGAGAAUAUUACCAAAUUGUACCUGGUGUUGCCAAUCAGGUCUCCACAUGUUAUUUG
ensembl:lncRNA